rnacentral:rRNA from 1 species
AACGAUGAAUACUCGCAGUUCGGUCAUUAUGAUUGAGUUGUCCAGCGAAAGCGUUAAGUAUUCCACCUGGGGAGUACGCCGGCAACGGUGAAACUCAAAGGAAUUGACGGGGGCCCGCACAAGCGGAGGAACAUGUGGUUUAAUUCGAUGAUACGCGAGGAACCUUACCCGGGCUUGAACCAGGAGUGACGAGUGCAGAGAUGCGCUUAUUCUUCGGACACUUUUGGAGGUGCUGCAUGGCUGUCGUCAG